UCCCUCUCAGGAUCAUACCUGGAGAGUUUCCAGUACUCUACCAGUCUAGAAUAUGGGAGGGAAAGUCAAGCACAGGUGUACCCAUUCCAUUCCUAGCUUGGGCAGUGGCUAGCAAGUGGAAGGCAAUCUGUGACAAAU